rnacentral:rRNA from 1 species
GAUGAACGCUAGCGGCAGGCCUAAUACAUGCAAGUCGAGGGGUAGAAGAGGCUUGCUUCUUUGAGACCGGCGCACGGGUGCGCAACGCGUAUGCAACCUACCUUCAUCUGGGGGAUAGCCCGGAGAAAUCCGGAUUAAUACCGCAUAAAAUCACAGGAUGGCAUUAUCCAAUGAUCAAACAUUUAUGGGAUGGAGAUGGGCAUGCGUGUCAUUGGCUAGUUGGCGGGGUAACGGCCCACCAAGGCGACGAUGACUAGGGGAUCUGAGAGGAUGGCCCCCCACACUGGUACUGGGACACGGAACAGACUCCUACGGGAGGCAGCAGUAAGGAAUAUUGGUCAAUGGAGGCAACUCUGAACCAGCCAUGCCGCGUGCAGGAAGACUGCCCUAUGGGUUGUAAACUGCUUUUAUUCGGGAAUAAACCUUAUUACGUGUAAUAAGCUGAAUGUACCGAAGGAAUAAGGAUCGGCUAACUCCGUGCCAGCAGCCGCGGUAACAC